CAUUUACUUAACGUGAAAACUACAUCUGUUCCUUGUUCAUUUCAGACCGAAUGAACUUAAAAUAACCAUUCCUACACGAAUACAUGAUAACAUACAUAUGUAUUCAGAUUUAUAACAAAGCUCAAAUCACCGUUUAUAUGGUUACAGUGUGAAUGGUGACUGUAUAUCAUAUAACAGACAAAUAACAGAAUGUUACAAGGGAGCUCAGUUAUUGUACGAGUUUGUAUCACUGUGAUACUGGGCUGGCACGAUGAUUCGGACUCGUACAAAAACCUCACUGUCAUACUGAAGGUUACAGUAUCGUUAAUGCGAAUUGGAGGGACACCAGUUUGUAUUUCUACGACUUGUUAUAUUUCAUUUUAUUAAUGAUUCUAUGCCAUUCGGUGGUAAAUACGUUUGAUUAUUUAAGAGAACAUUAAUAUUUAUGUUUAUUUUUCCCCUGCAGAAGUUUUACCACCAACUUUAAUUACAUGCAUGUUAUUGUCCGGGUAGCGUAAUGUAAUGAAUCACUGUGAUGCUUUCGACUACUGGGGAAAAGGCACCAAAGUCGCUGUCACUGUCGAAACUCCCAAAGGACCAGACUUCCUUUAUGCUCUGCAGCCAUGUAAUCCCAGCGGCUCAGCGGGUCUUAUCAGCCUCGGCUGUGUUGCAGGCGGCUUCUCACCAGUGGAUUUUUUUAGCUUUGGCUGGAAGGGCAGCAGCGGUACCCAGGUGUCUGACAUCUAUCAGUACUCAGCGGUCAAUAACAAUGGAGUCAGCAUGGUGGUCAGUGAGAUCCGCGUCAAUGCGGCAGACUGGGGUGGUCAAGCUCAUUACCAAUGUACUGCACAGCACCAAUCCAGUAAAAAGGAGCUAACUGGGAGAAUGGACAGGCCAGUUCCACCAACAUCCCCAACCGUGAGUCUCGUGACUCUGCCCGGGGGGGAGAGCCGUGUAGAUGCGCUAAUGUGUGUCAUUCAGGACUUCCACCCCAGGAGCGUCAAUGUGGCAUGGAAAGCUGGGGACAGCACUGUCUCAGGACAGACCUGGCAGCCGGAGAAAGGACAGACAGGACUGUACUCAGCCAGCAGUGUGCUGAAACUGGACAGCAGCGUCUGGGAGAGUAACACUGUGUACACAUGUGAGGUGCAGCACGGUGCUAAUAAAACCACUAAGUCCAUCAGUAAAGCCCUGUCCAGUAGGUCCUGUUUGGAUGUGACCCUGAAGCCCCCAAGAGUAAAAGAGAUGUUCACAGAUAACAGGGCUGUGCUGGAAUGCAUCAUGACAGGAGAGGAGGAGGCAGUAAAAGAAGCUGAAGUGACCUGGAUGUUGGACAGUGUACAGGUGACAGAGGAGAUUACACAGACCGGUACAGAAAAGGCAGGUCAUCUCUUCAGAAGGAGCAGCAUCCUGACUCGGGCAGUGAAGGACUGGGAAGGUGACAAGACUGUGGAGUGCAGUGUGCAGAAGAAGGGUGGACCUGCUAUCACUAAGACCCUCAGAUUUGGGCAAAAAGGUACGACGAGACCUACAGUCUCCAUUCAAACACCAUCUGCUGAAGAUGGAAAAAGUGAAUUCUUCCUGGUCUGCCUGGUAACAGGCUUCUACCCUGAGGAAAUAUACAUCAUGUGGCAAGUAGAUAGGGGGCAGUAUGAGGAGGGUAUUACUGGAGAGCCACUGAAGACUGGGGAUAAAUACUCUGUCACCAGUCUGUUUAGGGUCUCAAAAGAGGACUGGGACAAAAGCAAGAAGUACAGCUGCAGUGCCAGACACGCAACUCAAAAGAUAGACGAGACACCUGCAUCGAAUCCUAUGUCCAAAUUAACGGUCUCCCCCCCAGAACAGGAAUCACCCCCAGAUCCUGCACUCAUCAUCCUCAGCUGUAAUGAGGGAAAUGAGGAAGCAGAUGAGUUCAGCAGCCUGUGGUCCACAGCCUUCUCCUUCAUCAUCCUCUUCCUCUUCAGCCUGGUCUACAGUGCUUUUCUCAGCCUCAUCAAGGCAAAGCAGUGAUUUUAACUUCAGGGACAAGAAAGAAAAAAGGCGAGAAAAAAAUAUCAGUUAUUAUUCUGAGACUUUUCCUUUAUCUGGAUGUUUACGUAUCGAUAAUAAUGUUUGUUAGAUGUCUUCAGAAUGUGUAUAUUCUCUAUGUAGAUUAAUUAUAUGUUAUUAAGUUUGUUACUGUCUAUUUUUAUUUAAAGCUGAUGCAUUAAAUUCUCACCCAUGGGUUGUUAAAAUACUUUUUUUUUUCAAUUAAUUCAAUUUAUUUUACUGUUAAAUUUAUAGUGCUUUGUCUUUGGCUAAAUUAAAUCAAUGCAACAAAAUACAUAUGAAGUCAGGAUGAAUGUCUAAAUUUUAAGAAGAGCAGGUAGCAGCUGAAACGUAAGCAGCUAAAGUGUUUACUCACAUUUACGUUACGUAACAUUGUGUCAUGCCCGGCUCGUCCGCUCCUCCUGUGUGCCACGCCCCCUGAUUACCCACGUGUUUUCUCCCGAUUGUACCCAGCUGUAUCCAGUUCAUUUGCUCAGUCCUGUGUAUUUCAGUCCGUGUCUUACCUGAGUCCUUCGUCCGUCAUUGAUGUUAGUUGGCGUUACAUGUCCCAUGCUCCCUGUCUUUAUUAAAUCCCUGAUUUACCCCGACUUCCGCCUGUCCGCCUGCUUCCUGCCCGUUCGCCUCGCACGAUCGCCGCUUUGUCCGCCAGCGAUCGUGACACAUUGCACCAUAAUAUUUCCUUUGAAUUGCUUUUCUUCUACUGCAUUAGUUAGUUUCAAUGCUAAUUUUUCUUGAAAUGUCUGAAAUUCUAAUUAUUGUCUUAUUUUAGUUAAAAUAUUUCUGUAUUUCAUGUCUCUAUACAAAUUUAUUUACAAAUAAAACUUUGUUGGUACAAA